GCGAGGUCAUCGGUGGGGCGGGGUGCGCCGGGGGUCUGCCGGACCUCUCGGGGCUGGAUCUGGCCGCGUUGCGGGGGAUCGAGCACCCCGUGCUCGCGC
rnacentral:tRNA from 1 species